CGCACUUUGUGGCACGUCGUCACGUUGAGACGAGCGUGACGCACAGUCGCUAGAGAAGGGCGUAUUGAAGAGGUUGGAGGAUGCUUAUUGUGUUGUUUGUGUAGCGUAGAAAUGACUCCAUCUUUUAGACUCUCAACUUUCUCGCUCUAAAACAUGAGAAAUGAUAUGAGAGAGAAACUUGUUUGCCCUUCAAUUUCCCUCUCGAUUCCUUCGCCUUUGCUUUCGAUCCUUUGCUAGAGAACCUUAUUCCUUUCUCUCUCCUAUGUUUAUCCCUUCAAAAUCCUUUUCUUUUCCUCCAUUAUCACUCUCUUCCUAGCCGUCAGGUGCACUUUGGUUUUGCAAACGAGUUCGUUGGUCACUAAAUUACUUCGAUUGUGAGCUGCUACUGUUUUUGGAAGUGUUCAAUGAGUGGUUCAAAGUUCAAAGUACUGUGUUUCAAAGAGCUGAUUUAAGUAUUAUGUAUGCAUUUUUUAUUGAUGUUUUCCUUUUUGAAGUAGCUGAUCAGUAAAAGAAGGAUAACUCAAAGGGGAUGGAAGGAUUGAUUUUUGGUAUAUGUAUAUAGAUGUAUACANCAAUAUGAACAAGUGCCUUUGUUUCUAUACCCAAUAUUUUGUUGUAUAAUAGCUGAGAGGACUNCUAGGAAGACGCUNUUGCACACUCUUUUUAAUGCAUUCUUGAGAUUCAUUAAAUAGGAAGACCUACAAAAUUAUGUUAUUUCCUAUAAAAUUCUGGUCAAAUAAUAGGAGNNUGUUCAAAAUAUNGGGUUAUUUGAGCANACUUUACAUUUCAGCUACUANUUUUGAAGUCUAUGAUGAAUAGUUAAAAUAGUUUGGCUAGAACAUAGUGCCUUGCAGCUUGAUCUAGAAUACAUAAAAUAAAAGUAACUUGUUGAAAUUUGAAGGAUAAGAUCACCAAUGUUGAUUCUUUGAUGGGAGUUCUGGAUGAUUAUUUUCUUUUAGGUUUCAAUUCAUACCACNAUUGGAGAAUGACCUUGUUUAGGAUUAUCUUCUUCAAACUCAAUAUUCAUUGGGUCUGAGUGUACAUGGUUCCAUUACUCCCUCAAAACAUAUAGUACUUAAGCACUGGUNGAAUUGGUUAGUGAGUAGAAAUAUAAGUGCUGGUACGAUAAACUUAUGCACUAAACUUGGUUACAAGUAUUUUGCACAAUGGUCUGACGGUCAGAUCACCUUUUACGAUGAACCGAAUGAGACAAAACUAGGUGACAUUGUCUGUAAUGAGGGGACUAAAUAGUAUGUAGGCAUCUUGGAGUAUCUCCAGCGGGAGGUUCUUACAUGAGGUCAUUGUGAUGAAAAAUAAUAUUUUCAUGUUUACAGUAUUAUUUUNUUAAUAAGGAACUCAUGCAAGCAAAUCCCGUUGGAGAUGCUCUUCAGGAAGACAAGUUCUUCUAUCUUGGUGACAUCCUCUGUAACGAGUCUACUCUCCAUUCUAAUAUAUUUUUUUUUAUAAAACCGAAAAGCACCUUACUACUGCAAUGGGUUGAGGUUCACUGCAGAAAAUGAAUAAAUAUAUGUUUGUGGAAUGUGUGGAAGAACCAGGUUUUCUGUUCAUUCUUGUUCAGCUUUCAUGGGGAACAUGACAGUUGGAGGAAAUACUGGUUUGGUCAUCAUUUUUUAUCUCUUGUUUGUCAACGCUUACAAGCAUUGUGGGUAUACCCACACAAUUGCAACUAGAGACCGUUUUAUUUUAUUUUGAAUAAUUUUUAAAUCCAACGACUGAUUUCUGCAAGAUUACAUGAAAAAUAUAUGAAUGCGUUUGUUGUUUGAAAACCUGAUGUGUCUGGAUCGAUUU